GAGCGAUGCAUUCUUUUACACUAUGACAGUGGCUCUGGUUACUGUAAAGUUGACCUAAACAGCAACCAGCAUUGAUGCGGGACUGUUGCCUAGAGCACAGGAUCUGUGCAGGGUGUUGCAAUAAUCCUCAGAGUGGGAAACACAAGACAGAACGUGGAUCAUUUCAAGGUAGUAUUUUCCAGAUUAUCACCCCGUGCAUACU
rnacentral:lncRNA from 1 species